AAACGAUGCCAACCAGCAAUCCGCCUGAGUUCCUUAAAUGACUCGGCGGGCGGCUUCCGGGAAACCAAAGUUUUUCGGUUCCGGGGGAAGUAUGGUUGCAAAGCUGAAACUUAAAGGAAUUGACGGAAGGGCACCACCAGGAGUGGAGCCUGCGGCUUAAUUUGACUCAACACGGGAAAACUUACCCGGCCCGGACACUGGAAGGAUUGACAGAUUGAGAGCUCUUUCUUGAUUCAGUGGGUGGUGGUGCAUGGCCGUUCUUAGUUGGUGGAGCGAUUUGUCUGGUUAAUUCCGAUAACGAACGAGACUCUAGCCUACUAAAUAGACCAGAGGCUUCUUAAAACACGUCUCUGGCUGCUUCUUAGAGGGACAGGCGGCGGUUCAGCCGCACGAAACAGAGCAAUAACAGGUCUGUGAUGCCCUUAGAUGUCCGGGGCCGCACGCGCGCUACACUGAAGUGAUCAGCGUGCUUUUUGUACCCUGCUCUGCCAAGAGUGGGUAACCCAAUGAACCUUCUUCGUGAUUGGGAUAGGGGAUUGUAAUUAUUCCCCUUGAACGAGGAAUUCCCAGUAAGCGCGAGUCAUAAGCUCGCGUUGAUUACGUCCCUGCCCUUUGUACACACCGCCCGUCGCUACUACCGAUUGAA
rnacentral:rRNA from 1 species